AUACGGAGGGUGCAAGCGUUAUCCGGAAUCAUUGGGUUUAAAGGGUCCGUAGGCGGGCAAUUAAGUCAGAGGUGAAAUCCCACAGCUCAACUGUGGAACUGCCUUUGAUACUGGUUGUCUUGAGUUAUAGUGAAGUAGAUAGAAUGUGUAGUGUAGCGGUGAAAUGCAUAGAUAUUACACAGAAUACCGAUUGCGAAGGCAGUCUACUAACUGUAUACUGACGCUAAUGGACGAAAGCGUGGGGAGCGAACAGGAUUAGAUACCCCAGUAGUCC
rnacentral:rRNA from 1 species